AAUAUAAAUCUAAAUAUGUCAAUUAAUUUUGGACCUAAAUAUCCCAAACAACUAAACUAUUCAAAAAUUAUUUGUUAUGUUUGUCAAAAUUUAGUAAAAUAUAUUCAAAUAUAAUUAAAUUUAUUAAAACUUAACAAAUUUAAAAGUUUUUUUUGUUUAGAGACCCGCUAUCUACAUAAAAAUUUCCCGUUUCUAUUUUUUUUGGAUAUUUUUAGGGUCUGAAACUUUUUCCAAACUGACCCAAACCCAACUGGAUCUGACCGGAACCAGAACCGAAUAUUUAGAAUUAUUCUAUUGGGUAGUAAAUCAUAUACCCAUUAAUCCCAAACCCGAACUCGAAUGGGUUACUCAUAUGCCCAACUCUAUUCUGUGAUUUAAUUAUCUAAAAACUCUCAAAAAAACAUAUGUUUUGCUGACUACCUUUUUAAAAAAAAAAUUUACAUCCUCUUCUUCCAAAAUCAUUUCAUAAGACAUCACAAAACCUUUGGAAUAAUAAUUCCAUGAAUGAAGAAUCCUAAUUUGAAUAUACCAAGAGGUUUUGAAAGGUUUUAACUUUUUGAUAGGUGUGUAUGUGAGAAGGUACAGACAUCGUGAAAGUAAUCUGCUUAUUUAUAAUUUCAACUUGUAGUAUACCGCAUGUAGGCUUAUAUUUUAGUUAAACUAAAAACUUUUAUUGUAAAGAUGAUUAUAAAUAUAUGAUAUUAUUUUAUUUGAUUUUAAAUGUACAGUAAACUGCGAGUUGUAUAUAUUUUGUUGAUAUUAUUUAUAUUGUUUAGUGUUUAAAAUUAUACACUUGUAUUUUGAUUGUUAAUUUUAGAGUUUCACCUGUAGUAUACCAUCUUGUAGUAAUAUCGAUUUAAACCCGUCAAUUCUAGGAUUUUCCAGCUUGUAUUAAAAAUUGAAUCACAUCAUACACAUAAAAAAAUCUAAUAUGUUAUUAAUUAUUGUAGUAUAUAAGAUUAUAAAAUUUUAAAAUAAUAUGUAUGAAAUUGAAUAUAAAUAUUCAAAUUGUGACUAAGUACUCAGUAUAAAAUUUUCUUAAAUCUAUUUUUGACCCGUUAUAAUAUUUUUUUUAUGUAUUGAACAGUUUAUAUUCGUUUUUAAAAAUUCAAAUUAUGGCAUAUGCGAAAAAACUCUAAUUAUUGUUUUAUAACGAUGAUAUUAUUUUUUCGUAAAAAUAGAAUCAUAUAAAGAUGAGAGGUGUACUAUAAAAUUAAUAAAAAAUUAAUAUGAUAAUUU
rnacentral:sRNA from 1 species